rnacentral:rRNA from 1 species
GACGAACGCUGGCGGCGUGCUUAACACAUGCAAGUCGAACGAAGUGGCGAACGGGUGAGUAACGCGUAAUCAACCUGCCCUUCAGAGGGGGACAACAGUUGGAAACGACUGCUAAUACCGCAUACUGAAGGAGGAGAUUGCGUCUGAUUAGCUAGUUGGAGGGGUAACGGCCCACCAAGGCGAUGAUCAGUAGCCGGUCUGGGGGGAGUGACGGGCCAAUUGGGACUGGGACACGGCCCAAAACCCAACGGGAGGCAGCAGGGGGGAAACUUCCGCAAUGGACGAAAGUCUGGCGGAGCAACGCCGCGUGAGGGAUGACGGCCUUCGGGUUGUAAAGCUCUGUUAAUCGGGACGCGGUACCGGAAUAGAAAGCCACGGCUAACUACGUGCCAGCAGCCGCGGUAAUAC